rnacentral:rRNA from 1 species
UUGGACCUGAUAUCAGGCAAGAUAGCCAGCUGACUAGCAC